rnacentral:lncRNA from 1 species
CUGGGCUGGAGAUUGGCCCACAAGCAGCCUCUCUCUCCUCUGAGCUGUAGGACAGGGGGCACUUCUGGGAAGUGACUGACAGAAGCUUAAUCUAGAACAUCCAUUAUAAACAGGCAGCGGGCAGAGGGCUCAGAUUUGGGUCUUGCAGCAUCAGGAACAGCGUGGCCUCCCUGGGGCUCAGCAGACCAGCUGCCACGUUCUCUGCAGAUACCAACUGGGUGUCCUCCAGUUCACUUCAGGUCUGACCCCAACUACCCAGAGUUAGCCCCGCCCCCACAGGCGAAGGGCUCAGUCCACAAGACUGCCCCUCCUCCACAUGUCAACUGCAUGUCCACCUGCCCAACCAGCUGUAAAUCGGAGAUUCCCACAAUCCCCUCCUCAGGUUCGUUAUUGUAUGACAUGCUCUUCCCUCGGAUGGGGCAAGUGGCACUGAGAAGGCGUCCUGGAGCGGGUACCCUCUGGGUCUGGACUGGGGAGGCGGGAGAGGCAGUCUGUCACCUGGCGCUCUCGUAAUUCACUCCCUACCUCAGCGGUAAACCCUGCUUCCUGAAGGCUCUCAGGUUCUCGCAGGCAGUCCUUGCUCCUCCGGGACUCUUCAGCAAUCUAACUUCUCACCGUUAAGAAGAAACUAUUCUGUUCGAAUGAACAGCCCCGCUGCUAAUGCUGCUAAUCGUGAGCUGGAAAGGGAAUCUUGGCAAGUCAGAAGCUGCCCAGCAGGUGCAGGGGCCUGUGAGCUCCUGGCAGGCCACCCUGCUCCCGUCCCCUGCCAGGCGUGCACUGCAGGGUAAAGGCCAACAUGAAUCUGAGACUCUGGUCGCUCGUGCAGAACUCCAGAACAACCCAGGGGAGGUUUCUGCUGCACCCGCUGGGUGCUCUGUGGGUCUCCCACCGGG